rnacentral:rRNA from 1 species
CUACCAUGCAGUCGAACGAUGAACCAGGAGCUUGCUCUUGGGGAUUAGUGGCAAACGGGUGAGUAACACGUGAGUAACCUGCCCUUGACUCUGGGAUAACCUCCGGAAACGGAAGCUAAUACCGGAUACCACGUACGGAGGCAUCUCCUGUACGUGGAAAGAACUUCUGUCAAGGAUGGACUCCCGGCCUAUCAGGUAGUUGGUGAGGUAACGGCUCACCAAACCUACCACGGGUAGCCGGCCUGAAAGGGUGACCGGCCACACUGGGACUGAGACACGGCCCACACUCCUACGGGAGGCAGCAGUGGGGAAUAUUGCACAAUGGGCGAAAGCCUGAUGCAUCAACGCCGCGUGAGGGACGACGGCCUUCUGGUUGUAAACCUCUUUUAGUAGGGAAGAAGCGAAAGUGACGGUACCUGCAUAAAAAGCACCGGCUAACUACGUGCCAGCAGCCGCCGGUCARUACGUAGGGUGCGAGCGUUGUCYGGUAAUUAUUGGGCGUAAAGAGCUCGUAGGCGGUCUGUCGCGUCUGCUGUGAAAAACACCGAGGCUCAACCUCGGGCSUGCAGUGGGUACGGGCAGACUAGAGUGCGGUAGGGGAGAAUGGAAUUCCUGGUGUAGCGGUGGAAUGCGCAGAUAUCAGGAGGAACACCGAUGGCGAAGGCAGUUCUCUGGGCCGUAACUGACGCUGAGGAGCGAAAGCGUGKGGAGCGAACAGGAUUAGAUACCCUGGUAGUCCACGCCGUAAACGUUGGGCGCUAGAUGUGGGGACCAUUCCACGGUUUCCGUGUCGCAGCUAACGCAUUAAGCGCCCCGCCUGGGGAGUACGGCCGCRAGGCUAAAACUCAAAGGAAUUGACGGGGGCCCGCACAAGCGGCGGAGCAUGCGGAUUAAUUYGAUGCAACGCGAAKAACCUUACCAAGGCUUGACAUACACGAGMACGCCCUASAAAUAGGGAACUCUUUUGACACUCGUGAACAGGUGGUGCAUGGUUGUCGUCAGCUCGUGUCUUGAGAUGUUGGGUUAAGUCCCGCAACGAGCGCAACCCUCGUUUUAUGUUGCCAGCGCGUAAUGGCGGGAACUCAUAGGAGACUGCCGGGGUCAACUCGGAGGAAGGUGGGGAUGACGUCAAAUCAUCAUGCCCCCUAUGUCUUGGGCUUCACGCAUGCUACAAUGGCCGGUACAAAGGGCUGCAACACCGUAAGGUGGAGAGAAUCCCAAAAAGCCGGUCUCAGUUUGGAUUGAGGUCUGCAACUCGACCUCAUGAAGUCGGAGUCGCUAGUAAUCGCAGAUCAGCAACGGUGCGGUGAAUACGUUCCCGGGCCUUGUACACACCGCCCGUCAAGUCCGAAAGUCGGUAACACCCGAAGCCGGUGGCCCAA